AAAAAAAUACAACGAACUGAUUUUUAGUUGUUUCACACAUCAAUAUUUGCAUUUUCAUUUGCUUUUUCAAGUAUAUUACUCUCUUCAUCUCAUGAAGAUAUGUUUUCUAGAUAUUAUUUUUUUGUCAUUAAGGUAAAAGUUUUGGGUUUCCAAUGUAAAACCGUUACCUAUUUUACCUUUAUUAAACUAUUAAGUAAUAUUAUACUCGAGAAUAUUAUACUUUAAGACACUUUUUAAAAAACAUUUCCGUGGUUAGACACUUUCUAAAGAGAAGGCACUUUAAAUGGAUAAUUUGACCAAUUUACCCUCUAACCAUAUAUCGCUUUAUCUCUCUCAUCCUCCUAUUCUUUCUCUCUCUUUCUCUCACGUUGUCGAAAAAUAAACAAAACUCAAGCCAAAAAAAUAUAUUUAUUCCUUUUUCUUUCUUUCCUCUUCAACAAAUCAUCAGCUUUUAUGAGAAAGAGAGAUUGAGAUUCACCUUCUUUAAUUUUUCGCGUGUGCUUUGAUCUGACUUGAAGGAAAAAAAUUUCAGACCAUCAAUUUGAGAAUCUGCCCUAUCUGGCUGAUUUAGUUACAUGACUCGCUGAAUGCUUGAAUUGGAUUUACGGUUUGGUUUUCGUUUUAUGUUUUUGUUGUUUGUUGCAAAAUUAAUCUGAUUACUUGCUCUUUGAUUCUUUAUCUUGCUUUUCCAAUUUCAUAUUCGAGAUUAUUCUCUUGAAUUGGAGAUUAAAGCCUCGUAGUGGACUUCGAAUCGUUUGAUAGUAAUGGUCGAAUCACUAGUUGAUGGAACUCGUUGCUUAGUUCAUGUCUAGUGAAUUUGAUUCACGAUUAUAUUUGGGUUGUAUAUUUUCAGAAAAUCUAGUUAUUUUAUGUGUUCAUCAUAAACGGUUUAUAAGUUUUUUGAUGGUUGAUUCACUUACUGAAGAACCAUGUUGCUAGUUCUGGUUAUGUGAAAUUGAUAGAAAUUUUAGCUUAGAUCUGAGA
rnacentral:sRNA from 1 species